AGCUCCUCAAGUCCUUGUGGAGGUGGAAGUUGUUCUAGCAUCUCUUGCAUACAUUUUCCAUCCAACUUUUCAGUGUCAAAAUCAAUGGCUAGAACCUUGAGUUUCUUGAGCUUAGAUAGGACAUCCGAACUUGUUAUGUCACUAUCUUUACUUAAAUGCAUUCGCAGGAUUCUUAACUCGCCUAGUUUUCCAAGUUCAAGAAGUUGACAGCUUUUUCUGUUACUCUGACUAGCUAGU
rnacentral:misc_RNA from 1 species